AGAGGAGGAAGUUGAGCUCCGGUACGUGGAACUUGUCCAAGGUCACACAGCUGCAGGCACACUGGCACAGGGCCUGGCCAACUGUCUGUGGAGUUGAUCCAAACCAAUGCUAUGCUGGAAAUCACUCCUGGCUGCCCAAACGGAGACCCGGUGCCUCUGGUCAUGUCCACAUCUCGUCCAACGCUUCCGCCGCCACCAAGUCUGGAAAGAGCUGCUCUUAUCUCAGGCUACCCACUUCCACUCCACGCCCCUCCCUGUCCCAGCUCUUGGAAUGAGCGCCAGCUUCCUAGAAGUGGAGUGUACCUCAUUCCCGAACAGGCCCUCUGUCUGGAACGUGCCUCUUCUCGCUCCCUGAGUCAUCAAUAAAUCUGUCUCACUUUGUCCUGA
rnacentral:lncRNA from 1 species